CAGUAGCCGCGGGAAUACAGAGGGUGCAAGCGUUAAUCGGAAUUACUGGGCGUAAAGCGCGCGUAGGUGGUUCGCCAAGUUGGAUGUGAAAUCCCCGGGCUCAACCUGGGAACUGCAUCCAAAACUGGCGAGCUAGAGUAUGGUAGAGGGUGGUGGAAUUUCCUGUGUAGCGGUGAAAUGCGUAGAUAUAGGAAGGAACAUCAGUGGCGAAGGCGACCACCUGGACUGAUACUGACACUGAGGUGCGAAAGCGUGGGGAGCAAACAGGAUUAGAUACCCGCGUAGUCCCUGUCUCUUAUAC
rnacentral:rRNA from 1 species